UCCAGCCUCUGUCUCUCUCUCUCUAUAUAUAUUUCUUGUUAUUUUUCCAUCAUUUUCUUUUUUCUUUCCAUUAUUUUUUAGCUUCUGAUCUUAAUUUUGUACUAGAGAGGCAAGAGAGGAUCCGAUUUCCAACAUAUCAUCUUUCAAUAAAGCACGAGCAUAAAUGUAUUUUAUUAUGGCCAAAAACUUUUUACCACUCACCAUAAUUCGCCAAGUAGCAGCAAAAAGACCAUAAAAGGCAACUCUCAAGUUAGUUCCAUAUCAACCCAAUUCUC
rnacentral:misc_RNA from 1 species